rnacentral:rRNA from 1 species
UACGUAGGUGGCAAGCGUUGUCCGGAUUUACUGGGCGUAAGGAGCGCGCAGGCGGUCGAGUAAGUCGCGUGUGAAAGCCCCCGGCUCAACUGGGGAGGGUCACGCGAUACUGUUCGACUCGAAGGCAGGAGAGGGUAGUGGAAUUCCCGGUGUAUUGGUGAAAUGCGUAGAUAUCGGGAGGAACACCAGUGGCGAAGGCGACUACCUGGCCUGUUCUUGACGCUGAGGCGCGAAAGCUAGGGGAGCAAACGGG